rnacentral:rRNA from 1 species
CAGUCGCCACGGUAAUACGGAGGGUGCAAGCGUUAUCCGGAUUUAUUGGGUUUAAAGGGUCCGUAGGCGGAUCUGUAAGUCAGUGGUGAAAUCUCACAGCUUAACUGUGAAACUGCCAUUGAUACUGCAGGUCUUGAGUAAAUUUGAAGUGGCUGGAAUAAGUAGUGUAGCGGUGAAAUGCAUAGAUAUUACUUAGAACACCAAUUGCGAAGGCAGGUCACUAAGAUUUAACUGACGCUGAUGGACGAAAGCGUGGGGAGCGAACAGGAUUAGAUACCCCAGUAGUCCCUGUCUCUUAUAC